GACGAACGCUGGCGGCGUGCUUAACACAUGCAAGUCGAACGGUAAGGCCCUUCGGGGUACGCGAGUGGCGAACGGGUGAGUAACACGUGGGUGAUCUGCCCUGCACUUCGGGAUAAGCCUGGGAAACUGGGUCUAAUACCGGAUAGGACCCUGGGAUGCAUGUCCUGGGGUGGAAAGCUUUUGCGGUGUGGGAUGGGCCCGCGGCCUAUCAGCUUGUUGGUGGGGUGAUGGCCUACCAAGGCGACGACGGGUAGCCGGCCUGAGAGGGUGACCGGCCACACUGGGACUGAGAUACGGCCCAGACUCCUACGGGAGGCAGCAGUGGGGAAUAUUGCACAAUGGGCGCAAGCCUGAUGCAGCGACGCCGCGUGAGGGAUGACGGCCUUCGGGUUGUAAACCUCUUUCAGCACCGACGAAGCGCAAGUGACGGUAGGUGCAGAAGAAGGACCGGCCAACCACGUGCCAGCAGCCGCGGUAAAAC
rnacentral:rRNA from 1 species